AGACUCUUCUCCCUUGUUAAGUCAAUAUAAUACACAUCAGAAGGAUCUAUACAGAGACCAACACAGAGAUUGGGAGAGAGAUGGGAAAUGGUGGAGGGCCAUCUCCACUGGUGCCAUCUCUAGUUGUAGGUACACUAGGUUUGGUCAUCUUUGGUCCGACUUUGCUGUCCCUCCUCGAGGUUGUGCCCCGGUCCUUCUGUCCUCAGAGGAAGAUGAUGAAGGCAGAGGAGGCGUUGGGUUUUCCCUCACUAUGGCUCUGCUCUGCGUCUCGUUGCUACUCAUCAUUCAACUCUUCUCUUGGCUCUUCCCGUCUCGUGGCACCCCUUUGUCAUAUCCACAAUAUGGCUCAGGCGAUGAUCAUGAUGAUGGGUUCGGCUUAGGAUCUCUUCUUCUACUAUUGCUCUUCUUCGUGUUGUACAGUGUGGUCUAACCAGCUGGUAGUAGCCCGACUCAGAGUUCGCUCUCCAGGCCAGUCGAGUCGUCUAUGUAUGUAGCGGACAAUACCAAAAUCGACGUCACCUCUCAAAAGUUGCAUUAAGGCCAUGUGGUGCGUGUCUAGCCAGAAUCGUCCUAGCACGAAAACCUUAAAAUACAGAGAGUUGGGGUUAGGGAGCCUUGCCUAAAGCCAGCAGGCAAGCGACAGGCACUGCAAAAUCUCGAUCUCGUCUAUUAUUCAUAGUUUAAGACGGGAUUAAAAUGCAAAUUUGACCAUCGGUUUACUCAUCUAAAUUUCUUGGAUGUGUUCCUCAUUCUAUCAGAUAGAACGUCCAUCUCCCUUUCAAAAGAAUAUACUAACUAUAAGCCACUCCUCACCAAAUGGCACAAGGAAAACUAACUUAAAUUUAACAUACAACAAAGUAAAACAAGAGCAAACCCAAGCAAACAAGCAG